AAAAAAUCCUCAUAAGUUAGACGAUAAGAGGUACCUUCUAUGAUUUCAAUUCUUAAGAAAUUAUUUAUUCUCUUUUUGAGAUGAAUAGUUAAUUAUAAUUUAUAGAUAGUAGGUGGCACAGAAUCGGAGGCCCCGACUGUUUACUAAAAACACAACACAGUGCAAUCAUUAAUGUGGUAGUAUACUGUGUGAAAUUUGCCCAAUGCCAUUAAUAUAAAAGCGGUCAUAGGAAACUGUGACUAAUUGAAAAUCUGGUUAAUAGCGGUCUUAACCAUGAGGAUCCUAAGGUAGCAAAAUAAAUUGGCCAUUAAAUGUGGUCCGGUAUCAAUAAUGUAACGAUGGCCUCACUGUCUCUACAACUUGCUCAGUGAAAUUGAAUUACGCGUGCAGAUGCGCGUUACCUCCAGUGGGACGGGAAGACCCUAUGCACUUUCU
rnacentral:rRNA from 1 species